CGCGUGAGGAACCUGCCUCUUAGCGGGGGGUAACUAUUGGAAACGAUAGCUAAUACCGCAUAAAAGUCGAUAUCGCAUGAUAUUGAUUUGAAAGGUGCAAUUGCAUCACUAAGAGAUGGACCUGCGUUGUAUUAGCUAGUUGGUGAGGUAACGGCCUACCAAGCCGACGAUCAGUAGCCGACCUGAGAGGGUGACCGGCCACAUUGGGACUGAGACACGGCCCAA
rnacentral:rRNA from 1 species